GAAUGGCUGUAUAAGAAUGUUGUGUCCAAUGAAGAUUUUCUGUGAAUUUAUUUAAUAAUUUAUCUGCUGUAAUUUAUGAUUUAUCUGACACAGAUUUAAAGGUAUAUAAUUUAAAUUUAAUCAUAUUAAUUUAUUUUCUUUUAUUUAUCUUUCUUUCUUAAAAAGUAGUAUUCAUAUGUUUAUUGUAUUAUCUUGUACAGCAACAGUAUAGUAUAUUGAAUAUAUAGAAUUAUAUGAAAUACACAACAUGUAAUAUCAAGCAAAAAACAAAUUGAAAAGCAUUGUGUAUUUAUACUGUAGUUUUUUUUUUAAAUGUAGAGUGACUAGUAUGAUAUUAGUGUGCAUUACAGAACGUGUACAGCUGAACUUUUUUAUGCAAAACACUGAAAGCAAGUUGAACCAUUUAACAUCAGUUCCUCUCAUACUCAUGUUUAUGUUGUUCUCAUCCUCAAAACAUCACAGUUUGUUAUAGUUAAGUUUUAAAUAUUUGACAGAGCAAGUUUUAGUCAAAUGUAUUUAACAAAAAAGCAAUAAAUGUUGUUGUAAUUAC
rnacentral:sRNA from 1 species